rnacentral:lncRNA from 1 species
UGGCCUCUAUAAGAAUUUGAGUUAAAAAUAGUAUGUCACCAGACUCGUUUCCAUGGUAACGGUCACCAAAGUUGGAACAUCACAUGUUUGAGUAAAUACAUACCUGUAAUGAAAAUUCUGGAUUUUUUUCAAACCUUUGAAAGUAUUUUGAAAGGUUUGUUCUUCAUUUAUCACUAAAAUAAUGUUUAAAAUGUAAAAAAAACACAA